rnacentral:rRNA from 1 species
GCAAGUCGAACGGUGAAGCAGAGCUUGCUCUGUGGAUCAGUGGCGAACGGGUGAGUAACACGUGAGCAAUCUGCCCCUGACUCUGGGAUAAGCGCUGGAAACGGCGUCUAAUACCGGAUACGAGCUGCGACCGCAUGGUCAGUAGCUGGAAAGAAUUUCGGUCAGGGAUGAGCUCGCGGCCUAUCAGCUUGUUGGUGAGGUAAUGGCUCACCAAGGCGUCGACGGGUAGCCGGCCUGAGAGGGUGACCGGCCACACUGGGACUGAGACACGGCCCAGACUCCUACGGGAGGCAGCAGUGGGGAAUAUUGCACAAUGGGCGCAAGCCUGAUGCAGCAACGCCGCGUGAGGGAUGACGGCCUUCGGGUUGUAAACCUCUUUUAGCAGGGAAGAAGCGAAAGUGACGGUACCUGCAGAAAAAGCGCCGGCUAACUACGUGCCAGCAGCCGCGGUAAUACGUAGGGCGCAAGCGUUAUCCGGGAAUUAUUGGGCGUAAAGAGCUCGUAGGCGGUCUGUCGCGUCUGCUGUGAAAACCCGAGGCUCAACCUCGGGCCUGCAGUGGGUACGGGCAGACUAGAGUGCGGUAGGGGAGAUUGGAAUUCCUGGUGUAGCGGUGGAAUGCGCAGAUAUCAGGAGGAACACCGAUGGCGAAGGCAGAUCUCUGGGCCGUAACUGACGCUGAGGAGCGAAAAGGGUGGGGAGCAAACAGGCUUAGAUACCCUGGUAGUCCACCCCGUAAACGUUGGGAACUAGUUGUGGGGUCCAUUCCACGGAUUCCGUGACGCAGCUAACGCAUUAAGUUCCCCGCCUGGGGAGUACGGCCGCAAGGCUAAAACUCAAAGGAAUUGACGGGGACCCGCACAAGCGGCGGAGCAUGCGGAUUAAUUCGAUGCAACGCGAAGAACCUUACCAAGGCUUGACAUAUAGAGGAAACGUCUGGAAACAGUCGCCCCGCAAGGUCUCUAUACAGGUGGUGCAUGGUUGUCGUCAGCUCGUGUCGUGAGAUGUUGGGUUAAGUCCCGCAACGAGCGCAACCCUCGUUCUAUGUUGCCAGCACGUAAUGGUGGGAACUCAUGGGAUACUGCCGGGGUCAACUCGGAGGAAGGUGGGGAUGACGUCAAAUCAUCAUGCCCCUUAUGUCUUGGGCUUCACGCAUGCUACAAUGGCCGGUACAAAGGGCUGCAAUACCGUGAGGUGGAGCGAAUCCCAAAAAGCCGGUCCCAGUUCGGAUUGAGGUCUGCAACUCGACCUCAUGAAGUCGGAGUCGCUAGUAAUCGCAGAUCAGCAACGCUGCGGUGAAUACGUUCCCGGGUCUUGUACACACCGCCCGUCAAGUCAUGAAAGUCGGUAACACCUGAAGCCGGUGGCCCAACCCUUGUGG